AUUGAACGCUGGCGGCAUGCUUUACACAUGCAAGUCGAACGGUAACAGGCCGCAAGGUGCUGACGAGUGGCGAACGGGUGAGUAAUGCAUCGGAACGUGCCCAGUCGUGGGGGAUAACGCAGCGAAAGCUGCGCUAAUACCGCAUACGAUCUAUGGAUGAAAGCGGGGGACCGUAAGGCCUCGCGCGAUUGGAGCGGCCGAUGUCAGAAUAGGUAGUUGGUGGGGUAAAGGCUCACCAAGCCGACGAUCUGUAGCUGGUCUGAGAGGACGACCCGCCACACUGGGACUGAGACACGGCCCAGACUCCUACGGGAGGCAGCAGUGGGGAAUUUUGGACAAUGGGCGCAAGCCUGAUCCAGCAAUGCCGCGUGCAGGAAGAAGGCCUUCGGGUUGUAAACUGCUUUUGUACGGAACGAAACGGUCCUGGUUAAUACCCGGGGCUAAUGACGGUACCGUAAGAAUAAGCACCGGCUAACUACGUGCCAGCCGCCGCCGUAACAC
rnacentral:rRNA from 1 species